CGCGCAAACUACGAAAUAUACAACUUGUAAAAAUAAUAUUCAAAUUGACAUAAUUAUGUUUUAAAUUCGAGGAGAAUAAAAAUCUUUGACAAUAAUCGAUCGAAGCAGAGUACGACUUUUGGAACCGAGACGCAUGCACAGUGCAAGCAUAUGAUUCCACUCCCAAUUGCUUAACAAUGUGUAAAGACACUUCGGUAAAGCAAAAUACAACAGUAUGGCUAAGAACGUUAUGUAAAUAUCGAAAAUUGUAACGCAACAUUCGAUAAAUGAGAUUAAAACGGUAAACGUUAGAGCAUGUCUUCUAAUACCUUAUCAAAGAAUAAGGGAACGAAGCGUACAUGGGUAAAUUGUUGACCCAUUCUAAACGAUAAAUAAUAAAUGGGACACCCAAUAAAAUAAUUCAAUGGAUUUUGUCUUGGAAGAAUUAUUAAUUCAAGUCGACAUAAGGACCUUAACAAGAGCUGCCACAAACUUGAAUAGUCUUCUAACCACUCCCACUAGAAAAAUUAUCGUUGAAGGUAAACAUAAACAUACUGUGCAAGCGCUAAACAGAUUUACACAGAUAAAUUGAGAGGAUCAAUCAAGCCAGAAAUCAAGAAAAGAGCAAAGAUCAACUGCAGAAUAUCAAUUGGCAGUUUUGGGGUUUGAACUGGUAAGUUUCAAGCCCAAAACUUACUAGAUGACGGAUUAAGGAGAAUAAAAAAGAAAAAGGAAAGGAAUAAUCAUUAUGAAAAAAUAAGUGGGGUUAUAUGGGUUUGCAUGGAAAGAAGCUUAAGAUUUCCAAAGCUUUUUAAUACCCUCCGUAAGGCCAAUAUCAUUCGUGUUGAACUCAUAGACGCCAAUAAGUGUAAGAACAGUACAUCCACGUAAGAU